rnacentral:lncRNA from 1 species
UUUUUUUUUUUUUUUAAUGGGUUGCCUCUGUGGCAUGCAGCAAUUCCCAGGCCGGGGACUGAAAACCCACGCCACAGCCGUGACCCGAGCCAUUCAGUAACAAUGCCAGAUCCUUAACCUCUAAGCCACCAGGGAACGCCAAGGGCAUCCAGAUUCUCGCAUGGGCCCACCCCUCUGGCCACAGCCAGCCACCUCGGGGCUGGGCCUGACUCCAGCUGAAACAAGGAACUCCUUCCCUGGGAAUUUUUAACUGGGAAUUGAGAAAGUUAGGUCGACUCCCUCCUAUGGGAGAAGCUAUUGCUGGUCAUGUUUCUGGAAAGCCAGACUGCAGCCGCAGUGAGAAAGGCAGCGCUAAACAGGCCAAGGAAUAAUAGAGGCAGGUGGGUGGCAUUUGAGGAGCUUGUCCAGCACAUCUGCGCCCCACCCCCCACCCCCCAUGGUUUGCUGGUUCUGCGCUUCUGAGGACUCUGGAAAGAAUGGAUUCCUCUUCUUGCUCACUGAGGUGAGGCUCUGAUAUUUGCAAUCAGGAUUACAGAAGAUGUGUGACCCUUGUACGGGUUGGGUUCUUUUUCAAAAACAAGAGCAGAACGGAGAGGUUAGAAAGCACGAGUGACCUUCACCUCAACCCACCUGCCAGCCGGAACUUGUGAUUUACACACCUGGCAGCUGCAUCCUUGACCUUUUGAGACGGCGCUGUAGCUCGUUUCAAGGUGCUGCCCAGAAGUUCCCGUUGUGGCUCAGUGGGAACAAAUCUGACUAGUAUCUACGAGGAUGCGGGUUCGGUCCCUGGCCUCACUCAGUGGGUUAGGGAUCUGGCGUUGCCGUGAGCUGUGGUGUAGGUCACAGAUGAGGCUUGGAUCUGGCGUUGCUGUAACUAUGGCGUAGGCUGGCAGCUGCAGCUCUAGUUCCACCCCUAUCAUCGGAACUUCCAUAUGCCUCACGUGCAAUCCCAAAAAGAAAGACAAAAAAAGAGGAGGCUGCCCCCACUUGGGGAAGGGGAGGCAGGCAGCAGUAUGAGGUGGAGGGAUGGCUGUAGCCAGCUGCAGCUCCAGCACUGGGGAUUCAGCUGGCGGGUCCUGCCUGUCUGCUUCCUGCUGGAUUUCUUCUCGCUUGCCUCUCCCAGAGAGGAACCCCUCUUCUGUGUCCUGAUCUAAUGGAGGGAGACGAUCCCUCUCCAGGGAGCUACCUCCUGGGGUCCAGAGAAGGAAGGGAGCUGCAUUUAAUACCUGCAUUGUCUUACUCAUCAUCCUAUAAUACCCUUCCUGUAAGAUGUCUCAUGGAUCCUGACAACGCCCCUCAUUUUAUACGAGAGCCGACCAGAGCCUUGUUCCUCCUACUCUGUGUCUGCAAAUAGCACAUGUCAUUCUCUCCCCAUCUCACCCCUCUUUUUUCGGCCUUGUUUUCCACAUAAGAGGCAGCACCGUAGAAAGCCAGCUACUGCUGUUUCCUGAGGACAAGAUGCCAGGGGAAGACACUAUUUUCAUACCAAACCUGGUUUCCUGGUGGGCACAGAAAUUGUGGCCUGUGAAAAUAGCAACUCUGGCAAAAAUGUCUCCAAUCUGCUUAGAUGUGCAUCAAAUUAGGAGCUAGCCUUGCAGUUACGCCAACAGACUGUUUCUAAUGAGCCGGAAACAAAACUCCUUUUAAAGCUACCAGCCAUUGGCCCAGAGUCGUCAGCACAACUAGAAACCUGGGGCCCUCCAGCAAAACUUGCUCCUAGCUUUCGCUCCCUCUGACCCUGCCAGCUCCAUCAUCAUCCCUUAUUCUGUUCCUGCUCCUGCAGCCCAGGACCCAGGCCUUUACACAUGCAAUGGAAGGCAGCGAUCAGACCCAGACCUGGGGCCAUGGUCUCUGCCCUCACAAAGAGGAGAGGGACACGACUCUGCUCGUCCUCUGCACUGUCCAUACCUCUCUCCACCCCCCACCCCCAUGCCUUUUCCCAGUCAAUACCAGAGUCCCUAGGUCAGUUUCUACAGCCUCUAUCAACAAAAGCUGAUAGCAGUGUCACAGACUUGAAUGGAGCAGGGGAGCAGGCAGGCAGUAAGAACAAUAGCUGACAUUUUAGCAAAUGUGGAUGGCUGGUCUCCAAGCCUCUGUGCCUGCUCUUCCAUCUGCUUGCACACUCUUCCCUGCAGAGCGCCACGUGGCUGUGUCUUCACUUUCCUUGUGCCUUCCCUGGAGGCUGUCUUUUCAUGAGGCUUCCCUGCCGAUCCUUUCUAAGUCCCCAGCAUUCGCCACCCACUUGCCCUGCCCUAUCUUUUUCUACAGUGUUCGUGGGAGGAGACGAUCCCUCUCCAGGGAGCUACCUCCUGGGGUCCAGAGAAGGAAGGGAGCUGCCAUUUUAAUACCUGCAUUGUCUUACUCAUCGUCCUAUAAUACCCUUCCUGUGAGAUGUCUCAUGGAUCCUGACAACGCCCCAAGAGGCAGGUACUAUUAUCCUCAUUUUAUACGAGAGCCAGCCAGAGCCUUGUUCCUCCUACUCUGUGUCUGCAAAUAGAAUGCCCCCGACGUUAUGUUUACUAUAUGGUCGACCAUGUUGUUUCUUGUCUGUCCUGCCAUGCCCCUACUAUAGGUGCCAGAAGGGCAGAGGUUAGUCUGUUUUGUCCCCUAAAGUAUCCCCAAACCCUAAAAAAAAAAAAAAGACACACCCCCCAAAAAACUGGCCCUUGCAGUUCCUAUUGUGGCGCAGCAGAAAUGAAUCUGGCCAGGAACCAUGAGGUUGCCAGUUCAAUCCCUGGCCUUGAUCAGUGGGUUAAAUAUCUGCAUUACCGUGAGCUGUAGUGUAGAUGCGGCUUGGAUCCUGUGUUGCUGUGGCUGUGGUGUAGGCCAGCAGCUGUAGCUCCAAUUGGACCCCUAGCCUGGGAAUCUCCAUAUGCCACGGGUGCGGCCCUAAAAAGCAAACAAACAAACAAACAACCUGGCCUGUGUUAGGUGUCCAAUAAAUAGUCAUUGUGUCCCCAAGGCCAGGCGCUGUGCUAAACACCAGGAUGUAUUAACGCAUGUAAUCCCUCCACAAACUUAUGAGAUGGGCACCACUUGGUGGUGGUGGAGGUGGUGGUGGUUAUUAUUAUUACGCUGCCCAUGUUGCCGAGGAAGAGGCUGGAAUACAGAGCGGUUAAGGCACACAGCUAGUUAGGGGUGGAUAAGAACUCAGACCCAGCCGUGUAACCGUGUUCCCAACCACUUUCCUGCUUCGAACACACUUCAUACAACAUGACCAGGCCUGGUGGGAACCGUGACAACUGGAAAAGGCUUCCUGUGCCCGAAAGCAGUCCGUUUUAUUUUAAUCCUCUUCUGGACCCAAGCAAGAGCGUCUGUUGCCUUAUUUAGCCUCUAGGCCACCAGUUGGAAGAGGCUCAACCUAAAGUAGAAAUUGCAGACAAAAAUAGGCUUUUAUGGGGUUAGGAGGAAUAGAGAUUGAGAGAAAGAUUGCCCAGCCAGACUGCGGGGGUUAAGGAAUCCACAGGUGUCUUUUUCUUGGCUGUUUGCCCUUUGGCAAGAGGGUCCAUGCCAGGGAGGCUCAGAGAUGGCUGCCUGAACAGAAAUCCCGUGGCCGGGGGGACCCUUCCAGGAGUGCUAAGCUCAGGCACCACCCAAAUGACAGGCAGGCUGUCGACUGUCACAAGCUGGUCGCCUGGGACAGCUGCCGCCACACAGAGGAGGGACCAAACCACAGAGCCAUGGACAUGUGUAUAGUCUUGGCAUUGCUGCAGUGUUAAGGCACCUCCCUCGUGUCCUCCUAGACCCCCCCAGAUGGUCCGUUUCUUCGUGGUCGGCUGUCUUUGAUUUUGAUACCAGCUUGCUGCUGACCCCAAUCAUCUCACUGUAGGGUGUCCAGUCCAGGUGGCCCCAGGGAUUAGAACACCAGCCAAAGCCUUCAGAAAUGCCUUCACGCGCUAAUACUCGGAAGCCACAAUGUUUAUUGAACACCAUCGGCCACGUUAAUGUCAUGACCCAGACUGUAGGAAAGAUCGAAAGGACUUUUUCUCUUCCAUGAGGCGGCUGUGAUCAAAGAAGAACCCAUCCAGUCUCUCCAUGCAGCACGCAGCAGCUCAGAGUUCUCGGUUCCCUUAACACUCCCUCAGUAACCACGGCUUGAGCAGCUGGUGGUGCCCACAGUGUGCUCUGGAGGGGCACUGGCAGGCAGGAGACAGCUAUAAUCCCCAAUGGUGAGAGAAGAUGCAUCAGGCGUGUGGGCCAAGAGUUGUAAGAAUGCAGGGCAGGGGUGAGGGCGGGGCUCCCGUUGUGGCUCAGUGGUUCACAAACCCGACUAGCAUCCAUGAGGAUGUGGGUUCAAUCCCUGGCCUUGCUCAGUGAGUUAAGGAUCUGGCCUUGCCGUGAGCUGUGGUGUAGGUCGCAGACGUGGCUCGGAUCCUGUGUGGCUGUGGCUGUGGUGUAGGCCGGUGGCUACAGCUCUGAUUUGAUCCCUAGCCUGGGAACUUCCGUAUGCCAGGGGUACAGCCGUAAAAAAAAAAAAAAAAAAAAA